ACGCUCGACACCUACGGGAGGCAGAGUGGGGAAUAUUGCACAAUGGGGGAAACCCUGAUGCAGCAACGCCGCGUGAAGGAAGACGGUUUUCGGAUUGUAAACUUCUGUUCUUAGUGAAGAUAGUGACGGUAGCUAAGGAGCAAGCCACGGCUAACUACGUGCCAGUAGCCGCGGUAAUCUGAGCGGGCUGGCAAGGC
rnacentral:rRNA from 1 species